CCCAGAGCCACCGACCAAGCACCCUCGCGCGCCGUCCCUCCUGGCACCCACACCUGUCCCACAUCUGACUUAUGAGUACCUCCUUGUCCCCAAGAGUCAAUAAGGUGUUGUAAAGAGGACAGUAAGCCAAGUGAACGUGCAUUGGUAGACUCACUGACCAAGCCCUCCACCUGCAAAGGUCCUGGGGCUGCUCCUUGAGAAAUGAUCAAACUAUUCGCUCUAACCGGGGGAACCCUCUGAUUCUGGACGCCUCCUUGGGGGUACUGGCUGGAGGACCUGGAACAAGAAGGAGAAUUCCUGGUCACAUUGCACUUUCCAUACUUACCCUCGCCUUACCUCCCAGGGAUCGCCGGACCGAAGCCCUGGCACCCCACCUGCAGUCGCGGCCAUGGCAGUCGUACAGGGACCUGGAAGCCCUGCUAGCCCUCCCUCUGGGGCUAUGACUACGGCUGCGCACGUGACUAGGCCUGGGCUGUGCCCCCCACGAGGUUGUAACCGAAUGCCCCCCAAAGGAGCCACUGGUCUCCGAUGCUAACCCAGAGAUGUAGCCGCCACCCCUGGACGCUCUUCUUCCCGACUCUGACGAGCCAUCAUCCCUGCCAGCCAAAGGACUCCCUCCCUGCCGCGCCUCGGUUUUAGGGAACCUGUUACAUCGAGACCUACGCCUGGCCAAGUGCGACCGUCGCCGGCCCCAGGGCUCGUGUCCCGUGAAGCGUGAGUAGUGUGGUCCGCCUGCCCGCUGUGGCCAGCUGUAACAUCCAAGGUGCGAGUCCGGUGGCCCAUCUGCUUCCUGGACACCUGAACAGCGCCACCCGAAGCCCUGGUAACACACCCCCAUGGACACUGUUGCACAUGGCGCAGCACAUGCCCCGCAUCAUCGUCAUCAACGUUCUGUGGAUUGCGAGCCAGAGAGGUUGGGCGUGGAGACUCAUCUGAAUCAGGACAGCCCUUCCCACACCUGAGAAUGCUGCCAUAGCAGGAGACCCCCCCCAAGUACCCCAGGGGGCUUUGCGGUCUUUCUGUGCUCACUCCUUGCUGCGUCCCCCUUCUGCAAUAGGCCUGCCGUGUUCCCCCCGGCGGACAUUCCCAAGGACCCCCUGUCACUGGCUGCCAGGUGCCCCUGCUCGUGGUUAAUGACACCCCCCAAACCAGAGGGGCCCACUGCCUGCCUCACCCCUGGGUAAAGCCCUAGAAUGCCUGCUCCCACUCCCAACAGCGCCCCCUGUGGUGGAGGGACCUGCUGCUAACCCACCAAGGCCAGUACUUCCCUGAGGGCUGCUUGUCCCUUCAAGAACCAGGAGCCAUCCAGACCUGGGACUCUCUUCUUGCCCACCAGGCAGAUCACCACCAGGGGGCCCCAUCGCCGCUGGAACUCCCAGGCCCUGCCUGCCUCCCCCAUGGGAGCCUGCUCUCCAAGCGCGGCACCCGUUGGACCGGGUGUCGUGCUGCCUUGGGGUGAUGGUAGUUGCGGUUCGUGAGCACGCCGCCUGGGUUCCUUCGCGGAGGGCGGAGUCAACGAUGCCCGCCUCACGCACGGUUGAGACAACUCGCGGCUAGCUCCAGCCAGGCCCGCUGAUCCUGUGGGAGUCUCCCCCAUCUCCAGCCCCGGGCUGAGGCGUUGCGGUGGCUGCUCCGCGGCCAUCUUGCUCUGUUGCUGGCCUCACCGCCGCCAGCCACUUCUGCAGCCACUCCGUCCUUCUGCUCCAUGCAGCCUCCAGAACGCAGACCAGCAGAUCCUCCACCAACCGCUCAGCCAUCCUAAAAGACAAAGAGAAGCUAACCAGGCCCAAUCAGAGCAACAAGCGUGCACCAACUCUGCAAGGUAAGAAAUUAGAAUGAGGGAUCCAAAAUGGCUGACCCUUUAUAUCAGCCAACCCAAAAAACACUAACCCACCAAUCCCCACUAUUGCUCACGCCCCCAGCCCUCCUCCUGUCAGGGCCCUAUUCCCUAAGCUGCACUUUCUCAAUGGGCUUCAUAAAUAAAUGCUUACAUGUUUUUUUGUUUUUGGCGGGGUAUGUGAUCACUUCUAAACAAAUUCCCAUGUCUUCCCCCACAAACCAUGACUUAACAUCAUUAAAUGGGAUGUUCAUCAUUGAAGGCAAAGUCUGAAGUAAAUUUUCACCUUUGCCCAUCAAAGAAAUAGAAGGAUUUAUUCAUCUUGAAUUGUGUAAUGUUCUACUGCACACAGUUUAGCAGUUGUAUGCCAUCAUAUCGAGAAGGACUAAAACUGUUUAGUAUCUUUACAUUGACAGUAUCAAUACAAUUUCUGAUUGCUUUGAUCAAUAGCUUAUGUAGCUGUAAGGCUUCCAAUGCUGUCUAUUAGCCCUAUUGUACAGCGCUGCAGAAUAUGUUGGCUCUUAUAAAUAACUAAUACAAAUACCAUCAUAUCUUGUAGCCAUGUUAUAUACAUAUGCUAUACUGAAUGGGACUUCAGCUCCUGCUGUGCAACUCUCUGUCGUUUAAGUAAAAUGACUUAGCGUGCUGGAAUGUAAACACUGAUUAUUGCUCUCACAGCAUACGCCCAAAAAUCAUGUCUCGAUUUGCUGUAUGACACCUAGCCAAUUCCAGAGCUGCAUAAAAUUAAAGUGCAACUGAUUUUUAUGUAUAUUUCCAUGAGUACCAUUACUUGUUUGUAGAACAUUCUACAGCUGUAUAAAUAUAGGCAGGGUUAUAGGCAGAUUUUUGUACACAUUAAAUCUGAACACACAAAUUAAGGCAAAAAUAGCCCAGUUGUGAAUUUGAGUUGGAGAAUUUUUCCAGAUCAGCUAUUUUUGCCUCAAAUUUUCCAUUGAAAUUUAAUUUGCUCACAUGAGCAUUCUUAUUAUUUAAUUGCAUUCACUUAUGCUUUUACCAGAACAAGUCUCAUUUUGUUAUAACGCUAAGAAAAAUGUUUUUUGUUUUUUUUAAUGAUAAUUUUGUAACUAGUGACAAGGUUUGAUGUCGAACAGUUAUCCCUCUUGAUAAAUUCAGGUAGAAUAUAAGAAUUUACUUCUUUUUUUUUUUUUAUUCUACCCCCUGUAGCAUGCAUAAAUACCUCUGUAUCUAGGUAGUUUUGGGAAUCUAAUCAAUUAUUUAGCAUCUAGAAUGUGCAAUCAAAUUGUAAUAAUUUAGCCUGCGUCAGCAGCAAUAUAAUAGCUAUAAUUCUCUUUAUGUGAUAUUUCAUCUAUAUGAAGGUCAGCAGGAAAUUUACAUGUAUAGAUCAUCUUUAAUUGGUUCUAUCUGCUAUGCACAUAAAAGGCAGUCUGACUGAUGCUUAAAGGAUAGAAUGUUGUCUUUUUUGUAUAUUCUCAACAGUUAUCGAUCUGCCAGUCAUGGCAUUCUAAUAUUAAAGUGAUAAUCAGUUGCAGAUCAUGGGAGAGUUUGUCUUGUCUUCUUCAUCUACAGCAUGGACAAAGUUGCAGGUAGCUGUCUUGGCAGAUUGUCCAAAGCUCUCUCUAUAGGGAGUUGAGUAAUCUUUAGACCAAAGUGCCAUUUUAGUCUUAUUUCCAUGAAAUAACCUGCUAAAGAGGAUGCUGAGGUCUGGCUCUUUAACUGGUGUUUCUGUAGCUCAUUGGUGCAUACUAGAUGAUUUAUCCAGAUGGUGUACGGUGUGUAUAUUGGCUUAUUUGUGCACUUUAUGACAGUGACAUAUUCCAUAUGCCACAUGAGUAAUAUAACUUCAGCAAAGAAUCUGUGAUGUUUUGAGGUUAAUUGCAAAGUAUUUACAAAGCAUUCCAGAUGUUCAGGCCCUGGGCAGAUAGCACAGCUAAGCGGACAAGGGCACAUGUAUGAGUGUGGGGAUAGAUGAGUGUGAUUGGUUGUGCAUGAAUGUGUGGGUGAGCUGCUGCAGCGUUGGAUGGUGGCCGGCAAUUCCGUGAGCAAUAUGCUCGCCUCACCUCACCUCAGGUAUGGCUGCCGGUGUGGGCCCCCACCGUGGCCUACCUCCUACUGGGGUCUCCCCUGUGGCCCCUGCUCCUCAACAGGGCCCAAGGAGUAGUGCCAGGGGACAGCCUAACCAGCGGGGCUCCAGACACGCGGCCUACUACUGCAGGACGGCAUCCCCUACAUGGCGGCGGAUUACAGGCCAGGGGCGGUGGACGGCGGACAGUACCUUCCCAACGGCGGGCAGCCACCCAGCAGCUUUCCAGGUCUUCCCACGGCUGGGCCCAUGGCCCCUUUGGUGAGUAAGCCCGUGAGGGCCACGCGGGGUACCGCUGUACUGCUGUUUGGGCUUGGAGGGGGGGUCCUCCAGUGUGUCGGGAGCCUCCUCUGCUGGUGAGGAAGGCUCCCACGGGUCUGUCUCCCCUGUCCCCCCUCCUGUUUCCUUCCCCCCCCCGGUCUCUGGAAGUGUCCACUAGUUUCUCUUCUUCUCACUCCGGUCCCUCUGCCCCUCUCCCCAUCCCUGCCAGGUUUCCCACUCCUCUUUCUGUCCCCCCCCCCUGGCCAUCUCUCUGCCUUAUCUGGGUCCCCUCUGUCCUCCCCCCCUCUACUCUCACUGGACCCCUCUCCCCCCUGCUGGUCACCACCUCGGCCACCUCCUGUGGGGCGUGGGAGCUGACCAGCAGGUGGCACCUGGAAUACCUGUGAGGUCCUCAGUGGAUGCUGGAAUUCCUGUCACUUUGCCUCAACCUUCUGUGAUUGCAGCGCCGAGGUUGGAACGCCAGGCUGCAACGGGUAAGUGUGGUGUUCCCUCCUCUUCUAGUACUUCAGGUCCCACGCUGGGGGGCUCCUCUCAGGUCUUUGUGGGUUUGUAGAUCAGUGGGAGCAGGGGGCGGCAGUUAGUGGGGACAACUCUGUUACAGUACCUCCAGUAAUAAAUGUACAAACCGCAGUUUAGUGAAUGCUCCCCGUUCGCAAUAAUGUGGUCUGGUAGCGUAUGCAGUAUAACCAUGCGAACCGCCAGCCAGGGAACACUCCAAACUCCCGACCGGUACCUUUACGACUCCUUCCCUUCACGAGCUCCAAAUACACGAAUUGCCAAUAUUAGCCGAACGCCAAUAUCUUCCAAGCGGCAAAUAAUUCCAAUGAGCAGUCUCUAGUCGCCGGUAAUAAAAUCCCCCCAAUAACAAGACCAAGCUCCGCUUUGAGGGUAAAACACGAACUGAGUUUACUGUGGGCUACCUGCCCGUAUUUAUGCAGGUCUCCCACUUGGUGGACACUCCCCUAGGGGACCAAAUGGGAGACUGUAAUAGCAGAAGGACAUAGGGACAUUUUAGACAUACAACCCCACAAUAUUCCCAGCAUGCAUCACAGUUUCCUCCCCUCUGCUCGGGAGAUAAUUGAGAGGUAAUUCAAUUAUCUUCCAGAGCAGAGGCAAAUCGCCAUUUUAAAUAUAAGUCACAAAACACAUUAAAAUACAUAACUUUAUAACUGCCGAACGUAUUGCAUUCGUAUAACACAUCCCCAGAUGUCUGAGUGCAUAUUAUUGGCGAGUAGCGCUCAGAUCCCAUAUGCACAGUUCAAUCGCCAUGGAGUCAAAGACUAUUACAGUUCUUCGGUAUGCGAUUGACUCCAUGGGAAGGCUAUCUGGGGUAAGUCCAUUCGUGCCUUUAAACCUCUCGAACGGCCGGUGUUCACAUACUUCUGUCGAUUGAGAAGGGAGGUCGAUGGCUUCAGCGGUGUUCGGUUGAAAAAGUGUCCAUUUUUAGUUCCAUGAAAUAACCGUCGAACACCGCUGGUCUUUCACAUGGUUAAAAUGGCCGCUGCCUCGUGGUCGACAUACGAAUGACGACCACCCUGUAUUCGGUUUUUAAUGAGAAGGGUCUGUGGUUAACCGCAACGUUCUAAUUGGGAUCAAUAGGUUGACCAGCAGCACACUUCUCUUCUGGGUGGCCGUCCGUUCGGUAGUUCCGUUCGACAAAAAAAAUACAUUCCCUUAAACAAGGCAUACGAAUGGGGAAAUUCAUACAAACGGCAAAACAGACGAACACAGCAAUUCUAGGUUAUACGGAUGGGUCUGUCACAAACUCUAUGGAUGGUCAGCUUCCGUCGGUUUGGUCCUCAGCCCAGCACCCUCCUGCGGUUCAGUCCUUGUCCUUGGUGGGUAGGAGUCCAUUGCCUUCAGCGCCCCCAGGUCCCCCUUUUCCUGCGGUGUCCUGCGCUGUUGCCAGCACAGGCGACGCUUCUCUCGAGGUGGGUGUUUCGGGCGUGACGCGGCUUACAAGUGCUGGUCUGGCCUGAGCUUGCACUUGAAGCAGGAAAUGAGGGAAAUAAUAUGGAAAGAGGAGUUUGAGGAAAUAUUUUUCCUCCUGCCAUUGGAGGAAGCUCCUCCGGUGGUGGAAAAGGACAGUAAGGAGUCCGAAAAGGAUAGGGGAAAGUACCGCUAGACAUUUGGGAAUUAGAUUCGGGCAUUUUCUAUUUUGGCCAGCGUCGUGGGGGAGAAGUCUCCCCAGAAGUGCUCCACGUUGUUCUGCUAUCAGAACACUAUAUGGAACCCAUGUCGCACAUAUGGGGGGCUGGAUUGGUGGAGGUACGACGAACAGUUUCGUCAGCGGCUGGCAGUGCAUCCCUCGCUGUCCUGGGACCAGAUGGAUAUAGACUUCUGGCUCUCGAUUAUGACCAGUCCAGCCCCAGGUGUUUGCACAUCCUCCUCCUCCUCAUCGGCACCCAGCCAGAAGCCGUGCUGUUGUUGGAAGUUCAACGACCGUCACUGUAAGUGGGGGUCCUCAUGCCGGUUUAAGCACGACUGCUCCGGUUGCGGUGGUGCCCAUCCCAUCUCCCGCUGUUUCAAGCAGGGCAAAACUGGCUAAAAAGGGGACAUGGUGGCUAAGGGCGAUGACUCCAGUAGUCGUAAACAUGAUGCACCGGUGGCUCAACCUUUAUGAAUCGUAAGGUGGCAUGGAUCUUAUUGGAGGGGUUUGAGCAGGGUUUUUUGGAUCUCCUUCUCGGAGCGCCCUCCCUCACUCUCGGUUCGGAACCUUCGGUCUGUGUGGGAAUAACCUCAGGUAGUUCGGGAAAACCUGGAUAAGGAAGUCUCUGCCGGGUUUACUAUGCAUCCUUGAUGCGGCUGUUCAUAUGGUGCGGGCUGCGGGCCCAGGGGGCAUUGCUGACAAAGGCGGACGUGGAAUCGGCUCUCCACCGGCGACACUCCUCUCACUAACGCUGAGGGUUGAAGGAGGGGGGAGCAUGUCUCUCUCUCAUGCUCCGUUGUGGUUCCCACAUCCUGUGCUGGGAAUUGUAAGGUUCUUCUAUUAUUGGCAUAGGGUAGCUGAAUUUUGCUUGUCGGAUUUUGCCCAUGAGGCAUAUCUCUAACAGUUGUUUGACGGCGGUGACGUCUGGGGUCGCUCGCCCUCAGCACUAUAUUCGGCUUACUCUGCCCUGCCUGUCUGGCAUUCCUUCUUGGCCUCUUACAACAGUAGGACUUACUGGCAGGCCCCGGCGGUCUCUAAUGCUGACCUCCACCUGUUUACCAAUGCGGCUGGCUCGGUGGGUUUUGGGACCAAUAUGGGCUAGAAAUGGUGUGCUGACUCAUGGCCAGAGGACUGGCAUGCAGCAGGGCUCACGCGGAACUUGGCUUUUCUGGAGCUCUUCCCCAUGGCUUUGGAGGUAUGGGAUCCCCGACUCACUGACAGAUGGGUCGUUUUCCAUUGCGACAAUUUAGGGGUGGUGCAGGCUAUUAAUUAUUUGACUGCCUCUUCUCCCCCAGUGGUACGCUUGCUGCAGCGCUUGGUCCUGCGCUAUUUGGGUCUUAAUGUGUCUUGUAGGGCUGUACAUAUCCCGCGGGUUUGCAAUAUAAUGGCUGAUGCUCUCGUUCGCAGUGGGACGUGUUUCGGGCAGUGGCUCCGCAGGCCGAAUUGGAGGGUGUCCCAUGCCUAGUGUGGUCACUAGGUCUGGCACUGAUGGAGUUGGUCCAUGGGUUGGUCUCAGUGGCUACAUGGGCCCGCUAUAAUAAGUUGUGGAGGGAAUGGGACGGGUUGGAGCAGUCCCUUGGGGGUUUUCGGGACUCGAAUGCAGGGUCUGGUACGUUUCUUAGGGGCGUGGGAGGCUGCGGGGUUGUCCCCCUUUGUGAUGUUCUAGUUGUGGUGUUGGGAAGACGCUACCAAAGCAUUUAUAGUCCGCCAUGUCCUUAAGGGUUUGUGGCGGGGGGUGUCCUCACCGGACUAGAGGUGUCCUGUCUCAUGUGCUCUAUUGGCCAGUCUGUGCAAUUCCUUACCUAAGGUUUGCCAUUCUGAGUUUGAGGCCCAUCUCUUUCGGCUGGCUUUUUCCCUGGUGUUUUUUGGAGCCAUGUGGAUUGGGGAGCUGGUGUGUCUUAGUAGUCAACAGGUGUGGUGGGUGCUGUUUGGUGAUGUUUCUUGCACAGAGGAUCAGAUUUCCUUCAGGAUUCGCCGCUCAAAGACUGAUGUCUUUGGGAGGGGUAAGUGGGUCCGACUGGGGGCUGUGCCGGGUUCUGGCAUUUGUCCCGUUUUUUCCUUCGGUGAGUAUUGUUCCUUACGCCCAGCUUCUACGGCCAACCCCCUUUUGGUGCAUGAGGACGGUAGCUUUCUCUCUCACUUUCAGUUUAUUAUGUUGUUCCGCUUGGGGCUCAAAUUUCUGGGUAUUGAUAGCAGGGAGUUCAGGGGGCACUCAUUUCGUAUAGGGGCGGCCACUGAGGCCUCUAGACUUGGCAUGCCAGGCAUAUUUCUUAUAUUCGCCCGGCUUGUCUCCCGAGUUGAUUUCUCUCCACAGAUCCGGUUCCCCCCAGGAUUUAGAUCAUGGGACACUCCUAUGUCUAUUGGGCCAGGCAGCGUGCGACGGCCUGGAGGCAAGUAGUUGGGUUUAAGCCUUCCGAAGUGGAGAUUCGGUGGUUUGGUACAAGAGGCAUGAGGAGGGUGUGGCUCCUCCCUGACUUAGUUCAGUUGUCCCGCCUCCUGGGGGUUUUGAGUGUCCUGGUGAUCCAUCUGCGGGGGAAUGACCUGGGUUCGGUGCCUAUAUGGGACUUGGUGUCGGCCAUUAAACGUGACUUGGCACGCAUUUUAGUUCUAUUUCCUGAUUUACACCUGGUUUGGUCAGAGGUAAUUGCUCCUAAUUUCUGGCAGCGCGCUCGGAAACAGAGUGCCAUGGAGUGCUGCUGCCGAAAAUUGAAUAGGAGGGUUUCUAGGUUUUUAUUGGGGGUUCGGGGGAUUCCGGUUCGCCAUAGGGUUUUUGAGCGGGAUGCAGCCAAUCUAUUUCGAAGGGAUGGGGUGCACUUGACAGAGGUCAGGCUCGACCUCUUUAAUCUCGCUCUGCAGGAAGCUGUGGAACAGGCCAUGGGUGGUCUUGGUGGGGUCCCCCAUGAUUUUAGGCGUAAAACAGCGGGGUUGUGGCUGGGGGUAUGUCCUUGCCAAUUAAGUUUGAGGUGGUUAGGUUAAUUAUGUGGAAUGUAGUGAGCAAGUUUUCAGGUCUCAACCUCCCCUGCUCUAAUGGGUUAACCUUAGGUUACCUGUUAUGUCGUGCCCAACAAGCGAGGAAAAGGUCGGCUGGUGGUAAACAUUGGAAGGAAAAGGAGUUUAAGUCAAGGGGGGAGGUGAAAGGAAGUGGUACAAGUUUAUUGGCAAGGACGGUUGGGUUACACUGUAUGACACUAUGUGUCAAGUUAUAUGUUAAGUUAUGGUUAUUUAUGUUUUGACAUUUUGGUUAUAUCAAAGAAAAGAGAAUAUGAAAAUACACCUACCAUAGACUGGUCAUUUCUUUGUCAAUGGGCAAACUUUCAAAGUCAGCCGGGGAUCAAAUACUUUUUUCCCUUACUGUACCUACUGACACCAUUCACAGUUCUAUUUUACAUUACUAUUUUUUUUCUUCUCUGCUAAAUCACAUAGAUUGUGCUUCUGCUGUCUUUUCUCCCUUACUAUAUCAAAAGUACAGUAUUCAAGAUAUUUCAUGAUAUAUCCAUACCUUUCUAUUGUUAUCCACACUAUUACUUGUGAAUUGUCUAAACAAUCUAGUUUGUUAUGCUUUGCACUACAAAAAUAAAGAAUGUAAAAAAAAAUCACAGCUAGGAAACCUAAAUUAAAGAGGUUCUGAGGGAACUGAAAGUAUCAUUCUCAGAAUUGUUACUGCUUGUACUUCAGAUACUUAUCAUAUGUUUCUGCCUAACUCCACACAACAAAAUGUAAAUAUUUUCUCCCUGAAAAAAUAACCUUGGAAUGAGGAUAUGAGCCAAGAACAACCUGUCCCCACCAUAAUUCCACACCUGAGUAUGAGGUAAUAUCUUAGUAGAUUUAAAAAAAACAAAAAAACUGUUUCUGCCUUCCAGUAAACAGUACUUUAACAGAGUUCAAUGAAGAAACAGCCUAACAAAAAGUAUAAAUAUAUUCAGAUUGUCUCAUUUGUUACUUUAUACCUUUACCAUUUACUGUGAUCCACCAAUAUUCUCUGUGAGAAGCAUUGACUCCAAUUCUGCUCAGAGAGAAGCAACGGGGACACACUAGGAUGUUUGGUUUUUUUUUUUUUGCAAAAGGGAGAACUAUUGUCAAUUGUUAGUUAAUUUCAAUAUUAAGGACAAAGUAACCAAGCUGCAAAUUGCAAUUUUUCCAGUUCAACUAUUUUGGCCUUACAUAUGAAAUUUACUUUGGAUUCCCUAUUCCUUACCUUAUUAAAUAACUCUGCUAGUGUCUGCGAAUCUGGGGUCACACUACAACAGGAAAAAUAUCUGGCACCCAACUGAUGUCUCAGAAAUUAGAACAUUUGGGGCAUUAACCCUAGUAAUGCAUAUUGUUAAAAAGCCAAGUAUCAAGUCCUACUGGCACAAGCACUUAAUCCUGGCUACCCCUCUUUUCCGUGUUUCCCCAGAAAUUACUCAUUUUUUCAAAGCUCUACAGAAUGUGGUCUCUUAUCUUAUUCCUGUCUGACAAAUGUUCCCAAAAUUAUAUCCAACACCAAAACCUAUCUGUUGACAAAUCUAGAAAAUCUAAUACAGGUAGAUUGAUUUUUAAGCAAUAUAUCCCUUUAAAGUGGUCAUGAUAUGGCAUUAAAUAGUAUACUUUAUGCAAAUCCACUAAUUACACACAUGGCAUUUCAUAUUUAUGAAGUAAAGGAUAGCCAUCUUGACCAACCAGGAUGCUCUAAAUUUGUGGGUACAAAUGGCAAAAUUGUUUUGGAUCUGCUCCUUCCCUGGUUAAAUAAAAGUUAUCAUCUAUGAGUUAAUAAUUAUUAUACUAGUAUUGAUUUAUAAAUACAAAAAAGCAAGUCCUGCGCUCAAACUCCCAUUACUCCUGGGCAGCAGCAACGACCAUAGUACACAUCAGCCCCCAAUACAUACAGUAAAAAACAAAGAAAAAAGUUACCCGCACGAUUACAAAUCCUUAUGCAUAUUUAAACAAAUGAAUCUUAUUUAGUUUCUCCUAUGGCCAUGAGAGAGUUUAGCCCACCUCUCAGGAAAGGUUUGCCUUGACGUGGCAGGUGGGCUAAACUCUCUCAUGACCAUUGGAGAAACUAAAUCACCUCUGUGACGAAGUGCCCUUCGCCACUUGUGCCUGGAGAGGACUAAUUGCCAGCCUCCUGCCCUGCGACUAUGGCCCCUGGAAGAUUUUGCCCUUUAAAUACGUUAUUUAGGCAUCUUGGAUUUUAUUAGACUGGUUCUGGCCCUUUCAAUGCUCUGACAAAGGAUCUGCAGUUUUGCUAUGCACUUCGGAUGCAGACUGUGAAGAUACCCCUGUUUUAUGGACUUAGUUUGACUGUUUUGUUCCCCCCUCCCUUAGAACACCAGUUUAAACCCUUAAUAACUGUCAUAUUUUCAAACACUGUCUGUCUUUAACUGUCAUUUUGUUUUCCUCUGAGGAGGAGUUGUUUUGCUGCAUGAGUGCUGUUGCUUUUGUGUGCUCAUUAAACAGACCUGCUUGACCAUUUCUUGAAGCCUUGGCUCAUGCUUGGGGGAUGGGAUAAGUCUGCAGUGCUGAUGGUGUCGGUUGGAGUGCUUGGAGUCCUCGGCAAGCACUAGGAGCAUCGAUUGACGGAGGUACUCGGUUGGAGUGCCAGCGGGUCCGUCACAACCUCCAUUUGUUUAAAUAUGCAUAGGGAUUUGGGAAGAGCUCGGGUAACUUUUUUCUUUGGUUUUUAUAGUAUUGAUUUAUGUAAAAGUGUAUUCUGUUUUGAAACCCUAGCAUGUGUUACAUUGCGUAAAACAUACAAAAGUAUCACCCAAACCCUGGCUAGUGGCAGAAACGGUAAAGGUUUAUAGUCCAUGGAACAGCCUAGCAGGGGAAUGGGCCUUGACAGGGCCAGCAGUUAGGCAUGGGAAGAGUUAAGUGGGAAGGUUAAUGGAGGGGGCGGGGCUUUAGGCCUGUCAUAUAUAACACCAUCUUGAGUAGUGGCCAUCUUAAGCAAAUCUGCACUUACCUGUUAGUUGUCUGUCAGGCUUGUGUGGGUUUUCUGUUUUGUUUUCCAGAUGGAUUUGAUUGAAGAGUUCCAGGCUGGAGUGCAUGCUGUCAUGAGAGAUCGUGGUUUUGCAUGGCUGCAGG